rnacentral:rRNA from 1 species
AUGAACGCUGGCGGCGUGCCUAAUACAUGCAAGUCGAGCGAACAGAUGAGGAGCUUGCUCCUCUGACGUUAGCGGCGGACGGGUGAGUAACACGUGGAUAACCUACCUAUAAGACUGGGAUAACUUCGGGAAACCGGAGCUAAUACCGGAUAAUAUAUUGAACCGCAUGGUUCAAUAGUGAAAGACGGUUUUGCUGUCACUUAUAGAUGGAUCCGCGCCGCAUUAGCUAGUUGGUAAGGUAACGGCUUACCAAGGCAACGAUGCGUAGCCGACCUGAGAGGGUGAUCGGCCACACUGGAACUGAGACACGGUCCAGACUCCUACGGGAGGCAGCAGUAGGGAAUCUUCCGCAAUGGGCGAAAGCCUGACGGAGCAACGCCGCGUGAGUGAUGAAGGUCUUCGGAUCGUAAAACUCUGUUAUUAGGGAAGAACAAAUGUGUAAGUAACUAUGCACGUCUUGACGGUACCUAAUUAGAAAGCCACGGCUAACUACGUG